rnacentral:rRNA from 1 species
UACAGAGGGUGCGAGCGUUGCUCGGAAUCACUGGGCGUAAAGGGUGCGUAGGCGGGUCUUUAAGUCAGGGGUGAAAUCCUGGAGCUCAACUCCAGAACUGCCUUUGAUACUGAGGAUCUUGAGUUCGGGAGAGGUGAGUGGAACUGCGAGUGAGAGGUGAAAUUCGUAGAUAUCGCAAGAACACCAGUGGCGAAGGCGGCUCACUGGCCCGA